rnacentral:tRNA from 1 species
UCGUGGCGGAGUGGUUACGCAGCGGAUUGCAAAUCCGUCAACCCCGGUUCGAUUCCGGG